rnacentral:lncRNA from 1 species
UAGAAGUCAGGUCGGAUUAAGCCAUAGUACGGAAAAAACUAUGCUACCUGUGAGCCCCGUCCAAGGACGUUAAAAGAAGUCAGGCCAUCAUAAAUGCCAUAGCUCGAGYAAACUAUGCUGCCUGUAGCUCCACCUGAGAAGGUGUAAAAAAUCUGGGAGGCCACAAACCAUGGAAGCUGUACGCAUGG